GUUGUAUGGUUAAUGCCAUCCGGAACAACGGAACUAUACUUAAACGGGCCCUUGCCAUUGAUCAGAACCCCAUCCGGCAUACCAAGCUCCUCUCCGUUAUCAAGAGAAGCUCGUAAAUCCUUGUGAUUUCGAGUAUACCAAUCACCAAUCAUAAUCACGAUAUCUCCGUCGGGAGUAUCAAAAGGCAGUGCUAUAACCUUACGGUUUGUGACAACGAAACCACCGAAUCCACCUGCUGCUCUUUGAAAAUUAGUACUAGGAACAUAAUGGUAGCUACCUAUCUGAUCCUUAACUUGAAAAUGAUAUGUCCAGUUCCAUUUUGACGGAAUGGGACAGUUGGUGC
rnacentral:lncRNA from 1 species